CCAGACUCCUACGGGAGGCAGCAGUGGGGAAUAUUGCACAAUGGGGGAAACCCUGAUGCAGCGAUGCCGCGUGGAGGAAGAAGGUUUUCGGAUUGUAAACUCCUUUUAUCAGGGACGAUAAUGACGGUACCUGAAGAAAAAGCAUCGGCUAACUCCGUGCCAGCAGCCGCGGUAAUACGGAGGAUGCGAGCGUUAUCCGGAUUUAUUGGGUUUAAAGGGUGCGUAGGCGGACUGUUAAGUCAGCGGUAAAAGCCCGGGGCUCAACCCCGGCGAGCCGUUGAAACUGGCUGUCUUGAGAUGUCGAGAGGUAUGCGGAAUGCGCAGUGUAGCGGUGAAAUGCUUAGAUAUUGCGCAGAACUCCGAUUGCGAAGGCAGCAUACCGGCGGCGAUCUGACGCUGAGGCACGAAAGCGUGGGUAUCGAACAGGAUUAGAUACCCUAGUAU
rnacentral:rRNA from 1 species